rnacentral:lncRNA from 1 species
AUAUUGAUCUCACCUCUUAAGUCCUUGUGUGGACUAGUAUCUUGUGUCUCAGCUAGUUUUAUUAUUAUUACUGCAGUUUAAAUGGAGGAAUGGUUGGUUUUAUUCGCUCUCCGAGAAGGCGAUUGUAGAAGGGAAACCUGAUCCGUGUCAACUCCACACCCAGUGGCUGAGAGAGCUAAAAGUGAUAUAGAGCCUUGACGGUACGUGACACUUUAGUAGAUAGUCGCAGAUCAUUGAUCUGAAACUUGUUUGAGCUUUGUACACGUAUGAGAAGCCAAAUAACGGUAAAACGUUUGACAUUUUGUUAAAAAAAGCCCAGACUUUUAUUCGUGAAAAGUAUGCGUAUCCAACGAGCAAACGUCUGGUUCUUGUCCUAUCAGUUAGAAAAUUUGAAGUUGUUUUUUUUUUCAUAUUAGCUGUCCUUAUUAGGUGAUCUAGGAGGUUUCAUCUUAACUGAUCUCCAGAUGGUCCCACCUUUGAAAAUAACCUGUCCUGAAAAAAGUUUGUUUCCUUGCGUCUUUGAAGACUAAAAAAACAAAGAACCAGGAUCGUGUACGUAAUCUUGUCUGAAUCUUCGCCAAGUUGGUCCAAAGAGGUGUUCUGAAGGUUUCUUAUCCCAGUUACUAUAAUACAGGGCUGAAGAUUAGCGUUAGCAUAUCACAUAACAAAUGGAACAGGAGAACUUUGCUUGUCAAAUGGUACAGUGAGUAGAAGUUACGUUAAUUGUAACAAAAGAAGUUGCAUUUGUAGCUUUGGUAACUAUCUAGAGCGAAUCUAUAUAGAACUUGUAGAUGUAUUAGAGCGAAGCUAAAGAAGACCCACACAGACGAGCACUCGGUAUCGACCAGAUUUCCACUUUCACCCACCGAGAUUGACCAACCAGCUGAGAGCAUUGCAGAGUACAUACAUGCUCGUGAGAGAAAAUAUGAUGUGAAAGAAUGGGUAUGAGUAAGUCACUGGCUUCUUCUGCGCUUUCUCUUCCUUGUAUUCUGUUUUCCCGUCUAGCGGAAAGCAGAGGCUUUUCUGAACGUUUCCAACACCAACCAUCUUGUUGCAGUCCAAGUUUGUGAAAUAAGUUGUAGACAUGCUAAAAUGAAGGUUCUAUCAAAAAUUUAGAUGUCUAACAAAAUGGUGUAACUGCUACAUAUGUUUUGUUCGCAAACACCCUUCGGAUGUUGCAAGAGUCAGAUCGUAGGUAAAUGCAUUUGUGGAAUGUGAAUGACACACUGUGUGCCAAAUUUGCAGGUUUGGUUAUAUCAAAACCAUGGUUCUUGAUGGGAUUGUAUCUUCACCAUUAAGGAGACACCAGUCUCUAAAGAAGCAGUGGGAAGAUUUGGGCAGCUGCUCCACCGUUAUCAACAGGCAUCGAUAUCUUUUAACAGCUUUGCUUCUUUUGGCCUUCCUUUGCACUGUUUAUCUAUACUUCGCUGUUACUUUAGGUUCUAGACACUCCUCGUGCUAUGGCUUGACCGGGAAAGACAAGGCAGUGUGUCAAUUUCAACAUGUCCAAGCUAUCUCUAAAGGGAAACUCAAAUUCUUCUAGAGUUGUCAUGGAGCCAAAGCUGAAACCCCACCUUAUUCUUAUUGAUCUCCAACAUUAAUUUUUAAAAAUUGAUUGUACAAUGCCAUUUGUGUGUAUUAUUAUUAUUAUUACAUGGUGAAAAAACCUGAGACAUAUCAUAAUUGAAAAGAUCAAAGCAUUUUCUUUUAUGAGAUGAGAGGAUAUAUCUGCAGUGUUUCGAGAAGUUGAUCACCAUGUUUGUAGAGGAUCCAGAGGCUCAACAUUAGGUUUCGGGGAUGUGUUACUAUACGUAGAUGCUGGAGCAGUCGCACCAACGUCCACGGUCUCGUUUAUUUUGAGUUCCAUGGCUUGAUCAUCUUCGUCCUCAAUAUAAAUCUAUUGAGUCAUAAGAAGAAGAGCUACCUCUCUGUUGUGAGAACAGAGUGCUCAGCUCAGAGAGAGAAGCAGGCCAAAGAUACAAUACAUUUGAUGACGUUAGAGCAGAAAAUACUUGCCAUAAUCUUUUUUUUUUUUUUGAAAGAAUUCUAAAUUUAUUCAAACAAAAAAACCUUUUUACAGAAUGUACAGCAUCUCUAUUACAAAAGAUAUGAAAGAACAGAAAAAGCUACUACUACUCCUUGAGCUUCUCCCUAACCAAAUAAUCAUUGUCUUCUCAUGUUUCCCACCCGGUUUCCUUCUUAGCGAUGUGAUUCGGUUUCGCACCAUCUUAUCCAAUCUCACACUUAAACAAGCAGCAGGCUAAGAAGACUCUCCCACCCUCCUCACAUUUCGUUCAUGCCAAAUAGCAUAAACUACCACUUGGACACAAUAUCUCAUCAGAUACAUCAACCCUUUCUCUUGCGAACCAGUCACCACAGCUCAAAUCACUCUAUUCCAUUGAUAAAGAUUUUCACAUUAUUCAUAAUGUAUAAUUCAUCUAAAUGAAAUUACACACAAAAAUCACCAAAAAACGACAUAAAUUAUAUCAUAAACCCAUAAACACAAUUUUCAAAAUCCUUUUUAAUAUUUUAAAAUUUGCAUUGAAUCUUUUUUUUACACUAACCGAGAUAUACACUUCUUUUUAAUAGUAUUUCAGUAAAAAUUUCACCAAAAACGGACAUAAAAUAUACCCGAAAUUCAUAAACACAGUUUUUAAAAUCGUUUUUUAUCUCUCAAUAUUUUCAUUAAUUCUUACCUUUUUAACGUUACCCAUGAUAUAAAAACAUUUAAAUGAUAUUCCAGAAAAAAAUCAUCGAAAACAGACAUAAAAUAUACCUGAAAUCCAUAAACACAGUUUUCAAAAUCGUUUUUAUCUCUCAAUAUUUUCCUCAAUUCUUACUUUUUUAACGUUACCCAUGAUGUAAAAAACAUUUAAAUGAUAUUCCAGAAAAACAAUCAUCGAAAAUGGACAAGAAUCACCUCUUCUUCAAGCUUCAAAAUCAUCAAUGGAGGAUGGGGAAGAUGAGCUUUCACGAUGGGAGAUAAAAGCAUGUGGGCCAAGUAAAAUCUCAUUGGUUAAGGUUAAUAUGUGGGCCAUGGUGGUAGAUGAAUUAUGGUUGGUUAAUUUAAUUGGAGAAAUUAAUGUAUUUAUGAGGUGGAAUAAGAUAUAAUAAACUAAUGAAGGGUUAUAUAUGGAAGCACAAUGAUAAAGGGGGAGUGAGAAUAGAGAGGGGAUAAGGAGAAUCAUUUUUUUUUUCAUAGGGGCAUAUGGAGUUAAAGACCGUUUAUUUUUGCCUUUUUCUCUGUUUCCUAUGGACCCAAACUGUCACUAAAUAAUACUAGUAGUGGGACUCUUCCUUGUCGUUUUCCUUUGUCGGGAAACUGAAAUUUUAUGAUUGGGUUUAGGGAGAUUUGAUUAUUAGCGGGAACCGUGUUUGAAAAACCGAGUAAAAUAAACAGAAUUACCUUACCGUUUGGUUUGGUACAACUUCGGUUUCGGCGAUUCAAAAGUUAGUAAACCGAAAUGAUUCAUCUAUCUAUAUUAUUAAAACUGAAGUACAUUUUGGUAUUGAUGGAAAACAUUGAGAAUUGUUUAAAAAUAUAGAUAACAAAUUAGUUACUUCAUUUUAUUUACAUAUUUAGCCAUUGCAUUUAUAAUAAAUUACGUAUUUCUUUUUUGUAUUUUUUAUUUACAGAUUCUGCCACUACAUUUAAAAUCAAUUUAGUUAAUUAAUUACAAUGGUUGUUGUUUCUUUAUGGUGAAAAUAAAAACACAAACUGAAAUAUAUAGUAUAUAUUAUAUAUAAGAAUUUUAAAUAUAGUAUUAUUUUAUUUAGUUUAGUCAAAUAUAAAAAUUUCGAGAAUUCAAUUUUCAAAAAAACAAAAUAUCAUAAAAUUAAUAAUAAUUCAUAGAAAACUAAUGCAAAAAUUAAAAUUUUAGGUAUGCCUUUUUCAUUUGAAAAUAAAUUAACAAAAGAGAACAACAUGUUAAUAUAUGAACAAUACAAUUACAUCAAAUUGUAUUAAAUUAUAAUAAAAAUAUAAUAUUAUGUACAAAGAAAAAAAUUUAUUAUCAAACAUCUAUAUUAUAAAAUAAUAUUCUCUACUCUAUAUAUGUAAACUACAAAACAUAAAAAAUAUACAUUGAUUUUUUUUUAUAAAACCAACGGUUUAUGAUUUUAUAUUAAACACAAAUUAAAUCAGACAUCCGCGCAGGGCACAAGUAAGUUAUAGUAUCUUAUUACUUGUCGUUGCAUAAUGUUGGAUAUGUGCCCUGAUUAUUGUCCAAUAGCAAUCAAGAAGAAAAGAAAAACGGCCCAGCAAGAGCCCAACCCAUUUCACCAAGGGUCAGUUGGUUUACAUGUUCGUCAGGACGACCUGAACACGCAACUGAGUGUCAGGAAAAAAUGGCGCGGCGCCUAGCAGUACACUUCAAAACUUUUGCCCCCAAAACACUACUUUAUCGUUUGAAUGAAGAUUUCUAGACCUGAUUAUCGAAUCUAGGAUUCAACACUUACGAUAUGUAACAUGAUCAAUUUCACAACAGCAAAACAACUUUGGCUAUUCGUAGAUUAUAGAUCGCAGUUGCAUGUUGCAGAGACGUGCAAUGAAUAGGUUGAUAUGCAUCUGAACGGGUUAGACCCGAUUUGAGCAUCUCCGUGUUUAGAAAGAUACUUAGUCUCUUCGGGCACAUCUGAUAAAAUUAGAUCAUUACAGAAAAGAUUAGCGUGGCCCAUCCGCUAGGAUGACAUGCACAAAUCGAGAAAUUGUCUAAAUUGAAGCCUUUGACUAAAAAACAUACUCAAACCAUCGAACUACUUGCCGUUUUGGUUUUAUCAAACCGCAUGUCAUGUUGUUUUCAGCUUCGCGAAUCAACCAAAGCCGAUAAGCUAUAGUGGGUCAGAGCCUCGAAUCAUCGAGUGGCUAAUAAACCAUCACUGUUUACGAAAUAGUCCAAAACCAUGAGAGGCCACAACUUCGCCGAAGCCCAUUAUCAUCCUUUCAAUGGCUAAAGCCACCACCACUCUGUUUGCUAUCUCCUCUGUUUCGACUCGUUUCUCUCUUCUCCGUCGUUCUAAAUCUCUUAAACCAUCAGCUCCAAGCGCAAGACUCGCCGUGCCAAUGGCUAUGGCCGCCUCUGCUAAAAAGGUGGCUCCUGCUGUGAUCGUGGGUGGGGGAAGAGUCGGAAGGGCGUUGCAGGAAAUGGGUAGUGGCGGUGAUUUGUUGGUGAAGAGAGGAGAAGCAGUCCCGGUUGAUUUCGAAGGACCCAUUUUGGUUUGUACUAGAAAUGAUGAUCUCGAUGCUGUUCUUGAUGCUACUCCUCAGUCUAGAUGGAAAGGUAUAAACUUUCUCUCUACUCUUAAAGAUUCUUGAGUGAAUCAAAUUGCCAGAUGUUUUCUGGGAGAUAAUGAUUAUGUUGUGCUCUGUGUAAAUAAUCAGAUUUGGUGUUCUUCCAAAACGGAAUGAUGGAGCCGUGGUUUGAGAGCAAAGGUUUGGGUGAUGCAGACCAAGUGUUGGCUUAUUUUGCUGUUUCGAAGAUUGGUGAGCCUCCUGUGGAUGGAAUAACUGACACUAACCCAGAAGGGUUAACCGCUGCUUAUGGCAAAUCGGCUUCGGAUGUAGCUGCAAGACUUCAAUCUGGUGGCCUCUCUUGCAAGGUUACGUGAAUCAAAACUUGUUUUUACUCUAUAACAAAAGAAAACAAGACUACUUACGUGUGUCUUUCCGUGGUUAGGUACUUGAGAAAGAAGCUUUUGAGAAGCAAAUGUUGGAGAAACUCAUUUGGAUUUGUGCGUUUAUGCUUGUUGGAGCUCGUCAUCCAGGUGCAAGUGUUGGCAUUGUGGAGAAAGAAUACAGAGACGAAGUACAAAAGUCUCCAUCCCUCUGUUCUUGUUUUAGCAUUCAGAAAAUCGUUGUUCACGUCUAACUUCUAAUUAAUUUAUAAGUUCAGGUGUCGAGACUCAUCCAAGAACUCGCAGCAGCUGCUGCUGCAGAAAAGGGACUAACGUUUGAAGACAACAUGGUGGAGAGACUAUGUGCUUAUUCUCGCGCUGUUGCUCAUUUCCCAACCGCUGUUAAAGAAGUAUACAUAUACAUAUUGAUCUCACCUCUUAAGUCCUUGUGUGGACUAGUAUCUUGUGUCUCAGCUAGUUUUAUUAUUAUUACUGCAGUUUAAAUGGAGGAAUGGUUGGUUUUAUUCGCUCUCCGAGAAGGCGAUUGUAGAAGGGAAACCUGAUCCGUGUCAACUCCACACCCAGUGGCUGAGAGAGCUAAAAGUGAUAUAGAGCCUUGACGGUACGUGACACUUUAGUAGAUAGUCGCAGAUCAUUGAUCUGAAACUUGUUUGAGCUUUGUACACGUAUGAGAAGCCAAAUAACGGUAAAACGUUUGACAUUUUGUUAAAAAAAGCCCAGACUUUUAUUCGUGAAAAGUAUGCGUAUCCAACGAGCAAACGUCUGGUUCUUGUCCUAUCAGUUAGAAAAUUUGAAGUUGUUUUUUUUUUCAUAUUAGCUGUCCUUAUUAGGUGAUCUAGGAGGUUUCAUCUUAACUGAUCUCCAGAUGGUCCCACCUUUGAAAAUAACCUGUCCUGAAAAAAGUUUGUUUCCUUGCGUCUUUGAAGACUAAAAAAACAAAGAACCAGGAUCGUGUACGUAAUCUUGUCUGAAUCUUCGCCAAGUUGGUCCAAAGAGGUGUUCUGAAGGUUUCUUAUCCCAGUUACUAUAAUACAGGGCUGAAGAUUAGCGUUAGCAUAUCACAUAACAAAUGGAACAGGAGAACUUUGCUUGUCAAAUGGUACAGUGAGUAGAAGUUACGUUAAUUGUAACAAAAGAAGUUGCAUUUGUAGCUUUGGUAACUAUCUAGAGCGAAUCUAUAUAGAACUUGUAGAUGUAUUAGAGCGAAGCUAAAGAAGACCCACACAGACGAGCACUCGGUAUCGACCAGAUUUCCACUUUCACCCACCGAGAUUGACCAACCAGCUGAGAGCAUUGCAGAGUACAUACAUGCUCGUGAGAGAAAAUAUGAUGUGAAAGAAUGGGUAUGAGUAAGUCACUGGCUUCUUCUGCGCUUUCUCUUCCUUGUAUUCUGUUUUCCCGUCUAGCGGAAAGCAGAGGCUUUUCUGAACGUUUCCAACACCAACCAUCUUGUUGCAGUCCAAGUUUGUGAAAUAAGUUGUAGACAUGCUAAAAUGAAGGUUCUAUCAAAAAUUUAGAUGUCUAACAAAAUGGUGUAACUGCUACAUAUGUUUUGUUCGCAAACACCCUUCGGAUGUUGCAAGAGUCAGAUCGUAGGUAAAUGCAUUUGUGGAAUGUGAAUGACACACUGUGUGCCAAAUUUGCAGGUUUGGUUAUAUCAAAACCAUGGUUCUUGAUGGGAUUGUAUCUUCACCAUUAAGGAGACACCAGUCUCUAAAGAAGCAGUGGGAAGAUUUGGGCAGCUGCUCCACCGUUAUCAACAGGCAUCGAUAUCUUUUAACAGCUUUGCUUCUUUUGGCCUUCCUUUGCACUGUUUAUCUAUACUUCGCUGUUACUUUAGGUUCUAGACACUCCUCGUGCUAUGGCUUGACCGGGAAAGACAAGGCAGUGUGUCAAUUUCAACAUGUCCAAGCUAUCUCUAAAGGGAAACUCAAAUUCUUCUAGAGUUGUCAUGGAGCCAAAGCUGAAACCCCACCUUAUUCUUAUUGAUCUCCAACAUUAAUUUUUAAAAAUUGAUUGUACAAUGCCAUUUGUGUGUAUUAUUAUUAUUAUUACAUGGUGAAAAAACCUGAGACAUAUCAUAAUUGAAAAGAUCAAAGCAUUUUCUUUUAUGAGAUGAGAGGAUAUAUCUGCAGUGUUUCGAGAAGUUGAUCACCAUGUUUGUAGAGGAUCCAGAGGCUCAACAUUAGGUUUCGGGGAUGUGUUACUAUACGUAGAUGCUGGAGCAGUCGCACCAACGUCCACGGUCUCGUUUAUUUUGAGUUCCAUGGCUUGAUCAUCUUCGUCCUCAAUAUAAAUCUAUUGAGUCAUAAGAAGAAGAGCUACCUCUCUGUUGUGAGAACAGAGUGCUCAGCUCAGAGAGAGAAGCAGGCCAAAGAUACAAUACAUUUGAUGACGUUAGAGCAGAAAAUACUUGCCAUAAUCUUUUUUUUUUUUUUGAAAGAAUUCUAAAUUUAUUCAAACAAAAAAACCUUUUUACAGAAUGUACAGCAUCUCUAUUACAAAAGAUAUGAAAGAACAGAAAAAGCUACUACUACUCCUUGAGCUUCUCCCUAACCAAAUAAUCAUUGUCUUCUCAUGUUUCCCACCCGGUUUCCUUCUUAGCGAUGUGAUUCGGUUUCGCACCAUCUUAUCCAAUCUCACACUUAAACAAGCAGCAGGCUAAGAAGACUCUCCCACCCUCCUCACAUUUCGUUCAUGCCAAAUAGCAUAAACUACCACUUGGACACAAUAUCUCAUCAGAUACAUCAACCCUUUCUCUUGCGAACCAGUCACCACAGCUCAAAUCACUCUAUUCCAUUGAUAAAGAUUUUCUUUGAAAAACCGAGUAAAAUAAACAGAAUUACCUUACCGUUUGGUUUGGUACAACUUCGGUUUCGGCGAUUCAAAAGUUAGUAAACCGAAAUGAUUCAUCUAUCUAUAUUAUUAAAACUGAAGUACAUUUUGGUAUUGAUGGAAAACAUUGAGAAUUGUUUAAAAAUAUAGAUAACAAAUUAGUUACUUCAUUUUAUUUACAUAUUUAGCCAUUGCAUUUAUAAUAAAUUACGUAUUUCUUUUUUGUAUUUUUUAUUUACAGAUUCUGCCACUACAUUUAAAAUCAAUUUAGUUAAUUAAUUACAAUGGUUGUUGUUUCUUUAUGGUGAAAAUAAAAACACAAACUGAAAUAUAUAGUAUAUAUUAUAUAUAAGAAUUUUAAAUAUAGUAUUAUUUUAUUUAGUUUAGUCAAAUAUAAAAAUUUCGAGAAUUCAAUUUUCAAAAAAACAAAAUAUCAUAAAAUUAAUAAUAAUUCAUAGAAAACUAAUGCAAAAAUUAAAAUUUUAGGUAUGCCUUUUUCAUUUGAAAAUAAAUUAACAAAAGAGAACAACAUGUUAAUAUAUGAACAAUACAAUUACAUCAAAUUGUAUUAAAUUAUAAUAAAAAUAUAAUAUUAUGUACAAAGAAAAAAAUUUAUUAUCAAACAUCUAUAUUAUAAAAUAAUAUUCUCUACUCUAUAUAUGUAAACUACAAAACAUAAAAAAUAUACAUUGAUUUUUUUUUAUAAAACCAACGGUUUAUGAUUUUAUAUUAAACACAAAUUAAAUCAGACAUCCGCGCAGGGCACAAGUAAGUUAUAGUAUCUUAUUACUUGUCGUUGCAUAAUGUUGGAUAUGUGCCCUGAUUAUUGUCCAAUAGCAAUCAAGAAGAAAAGAAAAACGGCCCAGCAAGAGCCCAACCCAUUUCACCAAGGGUCAGUUGGUUUACAUGUUCGUCAGGACGACCUGAACACGCAACUGAGUGUCAGGAAAAAAUGGCGCGGCGCCUAGCAGUACACUUCAAAACUUUUGCCCCCAAAACACUACUUUAUCGUUUGAAUGAAGAUUUCUAGACCUGAUUAUCGAAUCUAGGAUUCAACACUUACGAUAUGUAACAUGAUCAAUUUCACAACAGCAAAACAACUUUGGCUAUUCGUAGAUUAUAGAUCGCAGUUGCAUGUUGCAGAGACGUGCAAUGAAUAGGUUGAUAUGCAUCUGAACGGGUUAGACCCGAUUUGAGCAUCUCCGUGUUUAGAAAGAUACUUAGUCUCUUCGGGCACAUCUGAUAAAAUUAGAUCAUUACAGAAAAGAUUAGCGUGGCCCAUCCGCUAGGAUGACAUGCACAAAUCGAGAAAUUGUCUAAAUUGAAGCCUUUGACUAAAAAACAUACUCAAACCAUCGAACUACUUGCCGUUUUGGUUUUAUCAAACCGCAUGUCAUGUUGUUUUCAGCUUCGCGAAUCAACCAAAGCCGAUAAGCUAUAGUGGGUCAGAGCCUCGAAUCAUCGAGUGGCUAAUAAACCAUCACUGUUUACGAAAUAGUCCAAAACCAUGAGAGGCCACAACUUCGCCGAAGCCCAUUAUCAUCCUUUCAAUGGCUAAAGCCACCACCACUCUGUUUGCUAUCUCCUCUGUUUCGACUCGUUUCUCUCUUCUCCGUCGUUCUAAAUCUCUUAAACCAUCAGCUCCAAGCGCAAGACUCGCCGUGCCAAUGGCUAUGGCCGCCUCUGCUAAAAAGGUGGCUCCUGCUGUGAUCGUGGGUGGGGGAAGAGUCGGAAGGGCGUUGCAGGAAAUGGGUAGUGGCGGUGAUUUGUUGGUGAAGAGAGGAGAAGCAGUCCCGGUUGAUUUCGAAGGACCCAUUUUGGUUUGUACUAGAAAUGAUGAUCUCGAUGCUGUUCUUGAUGCUACUCCUCAGUCUAGAUGGAAAGGUAUAAACUUUCUCUCUACUCUUAAAGAUUCUUGAGUGAAUCAAAUUGCCAGAUGUUUUCUGGGAGAUAAUGAUUAUGUUGUGCUCUGUGUAAAUAAUCAGAUUUGGUGUUCUUCCAAAACGGAAUGAUGGAGCCGUGGUUUGAGAGCAAAGGUUUGGGUGAUGCAGACCAAGUGUUGGCUUAUUUUGCUGUUUCGAAGAUUGGUGAGCCUCCUGUGGAUGGAAUAACUGACACUAACCCAGAAGGGUUAACCGCUGCUUAUGGCAAAUCGGCUUCGGAUGUAGCUGCAAGACUUCAAUCUGGUGGCCUCUCUUGCAAGGUUACGUGAAUCAAAACUUGUUUUUACUCUAUAACAAAAGAAAACAAGACUACUUACGUGUGUCUUUCCGUGGUUAGGUACUUGAGAAAGAAGCUUUUGAGAAGCAAAUGUUGGAGAAACUCAUUUGGAUUUGUGCGUUUAUGCUUGUUGGAGCUCGUCAUCCAGGUGCAAGUGUUGGCAUUGUGGAGAAAGAAUACAGAGACGAAGUACAAAAGUCUCCAUCCCUCUGUUCUUGUUUUAGCAUUCAGAAAAUCGUUGUUCACGUCUAACUUCUAAUUAAUUUAUAAGUUCAGGUGUCGAGACUCAUCCAAGAACUCGCAGCAGCUGCUGCUGCAGAAAAGGGACUAACGUUUGAAGACAACAUGGUGGAGAGACUAUGUGCUUAUUCUCGCGCUGUUGCUCAUUUCCCAACCGCUGUUAAAGAAGUAUACAUAUACAUAUUGAUCUCACCUCUUAAGUCCUUGUGUGGACUAGUAUCUUGUGUCUCAGCUAGUUUUAUUAUUAUUACUGCAGUUUAAAUGGAGGAAUGGUUGGUUUUAUUCGCUCUCCGAGAAGGCGAUUGUAGAAGGGAAACCUGAUCCGUGUCAACUCCACACCCAGUGGCUGAGAGAGCUAAAAGUGAUAUAGAGCCUUGACGGUACGUGACACUUUAGUAGAUAGUCGCAGAUCAUUGAUCUGAAACUUGUUUGAGCUUUGUACACGUAUGAGAAGCC